rnacentral:lncRNA from 1 species
UCCAGAAAUUGUAAAAAUAAAAGAAAAUAAAACGUUUACCAUAACAAAAUAAUUACAAAGACAAAAUGAUGAGCCCUUGCGAUCUAUCUCACUUCUAAUCUUCCAUAACUCUUUUCUACUCUUGCACACGUCUCCUAAACUUCACAGUUAGAUUUCUCAAAAUACGUUCCUUGUACGUACCUGAACAAAAGUCUAUAGGGGUGAGCUUACGCUCAGUAGGGCCAAACCUUUUUAGGUCAUACUUGAUUAUGUCAAACAAACAAGUUAUCAAACAACAAAUAAUACUUUAAAUAAAUAACAACAAUGAUUGAUGCAUAAAUGCAAAUGCACUCCCUCCACUCUAUUACUGGCUAAUUAGUCCAUACACUCAAGACAUAUGUACCUACACGUUCCAUACCGUGUAGAUGUCUCGAAUAUACGACCUAACAAAUCAGUAAUAUAUAAACUCCAGUACCUCUUUUGUUAGUCUUCUGUUAACCUCAUGGUCCCCAGUCCCGAAACCCGAAAGAUCAUUUUAUCGACUCAUACGUCGAAAGGGCAUACUUUCCCUACUCAUUUGCGCAGGUGGGCUGAUCAUAGCUAUUGGAAGCCCCCAUGAGGAAACUCAACUAUACAAAAUGUAUACAUUCUAAUAAUCUCAUUCACACCUCUCCAUAAUCAUCAAUCUCAUUAUCCUCACGAUUCCUCACAAUGCAUUAUGUAUGCAAUUAAAUAUCGAUGCGCGUAAUAUAAUCUCAAACAACAUGCUUUUAUAGAAAACAAUAACAUCGAUCGCAUAAGUCAACGAUAUCAAUAAUAUUGAAAACAAUAACAAUCAAGAAUUAAUCAAUCAAUGUCACACAAAUCACUCAUUUCAAUUAUAAACUAAUUAUCGUUUUAAAGAAAGGUUCCCCGACAGAGACCCUACCUGAAAUCCGAGUGUUAGUUCUGACGCCAGCUAAAAUUAGUAACGUUACGACACGCAUUCUGAAAUCUUUAUCCUUCUACUUCUGGAACCUGCUACUUGCAUUCGAUCCUCAUAUCGCCUUGUUCCAAGGAAGUCGGCAAACACUUUUAUUAGAAACGAUCAAGUCCUUGAAAUUGAUAAGGACACCCAAAUCCUUAUUUCCAAUUCCUCUCACAUUUUUGAUAACUUCCGAAUCAUAUACCAUAUGUAUUCAUUCACAUUAUCCCCACCUUUUAAAUCUACAUUUGUAGUUAACUUUGUCGGCGUAUCCCAACUAUGCUCCAAACACCCAUCCAAACUCCUCCAGAAUUACUCUGGACACCCAAAAUACCAUACACCCAUAAUGUGUCCUUCCUUCCAAGCCUUGUCUUGAACACCUUCCAAUUACCAUGCAUCCUCAUACCAUUAUUCUGCCAACAAUGCUCAAUCAUACCAUUGCUUCCACUUUUCCGGAUGCACAUGCUUUAUUUGCCAUAACAUAUACCAUCUAGCUCCAUUGCUUGCCACAAUCCAUAUUAAGACAAACUAUGAAACUUAAUCUUCACAGUAUUAAUAUUCGCACUUCAACUUCCAUUAACAGAAAAGCCCAGAACCUACAAUUAUAUAUGCUUUGGCUCCUAACAUCGUAAUCGACCAUACUACGUAAUUCUUCAGCAAGACUUAACCAUCUAAUUACCCAAUUCUUCCAGCUUCUUGGAAAUAAGUAUAUACACAACUAACAUCUUUUCUGCAGCUUCAUUUAUGUCAGAACUUAAACAGACAAUACCAAAACUUCCACUGCAAUCACCGAGCACACAGCUCAUCAUCCCUCUCCAUCACCCAGCUUCUCCAUUUCUGCAAAUUCCAACCCCUUCAAUUCUCAAUCAAAACUGCAUCUCAACUACACAUAUAACAUGAAAUCCGAAACCAGAUAUGAAUCAAACACCUUCACCACCGUCGUGCACGGCGGCAAGUACGGCAGUCACCCAUUGCCAAAAAUCCAACUUCCUCCAAACUCAACAAAACUCAGUUUCAAUUAUAUAAACAGGUAGAGCUCAACAAGAAGAUCAAGUUCCAUACCUCACUUGCCUUCGCCGGUGGCCGGAAGGCUUCGAACCCUUGCCGGAAAAUCCCAAACCUUCUUCUCUUCGAUUCUCCCUCACCUGACCUCAUCUCGACAAGCUGAAGUUACAGGGACGUCGUGGAUGAGGAGAAAAAGCUAUCCACACCGGUGAGAGACCACGACUUGGCCGGAAUCGGAAACUCACCGGCGAACCGAGUCUCUCCUUCUUCACUUCGAAUCUCUCUCUCCCGACCUCUUCUGAAGAAACUGAGGACAUAGAGAAGACCACGAGGACGAGAGGCAGCUUACAGUACCAUUCACGCUCGCCGCCGUCGCCCGAAUCGGAAACCCGAUUGGAAAAACAGCCACCUUCCCUCCUUCUUUUCUCUCUCACCAAAGCUUCCCAUGGAGGAACAACAUCACAGUCAUGUUGGGAACGACGAGACGGAGCUUUUGACACCGGUCUUGCGCCGGGAGACGGCCGGACGACGGAGGAAGGAGCUGAGCUCCGUCGCUGCAGAGCAGCUCGAGACCGAGUCGGUCUGGGCUCAAACUGAUCGAGUCCAAACUGAUCCACUGUAUGUAUAUACUCAAAUCGACGAUCCGGAAUAAACGGUUUAGAAGAUCGAACGGUCUAGAUCAAGCCACACUUUAAUUUCUAUUUUCAAUUAAUUUUUAGAUAAUACCAACUUCCAAAAAUCAUUAAAAAUAACUCCGAUGUUCAAACGGUACUCCGAAUACGAACUUGUAACGACCUAUAUCUUAAUCCUAUGGACUAAAAAGACAAAAUUUGACGAACUAAAAAUUUGAAAGCUACAAAGAAUUUGAAAUA